rnacentral:rRNA from 1 species
AUUGAACGCUGGCGGCAUGCCUUACACAUGCAAGUCGAACGGUAACAGGUUAAGCUGACGAGUGGCGAACGGGUGAGUAAUAUAUCGGAACGUGCCCAGUCGUGGGGGAUAACGUAGCGAAAGCUACGCUAAUACCGCAUACGAUCUACGGAUGAAAGCGGGGGAUCGCAAGACCUCGCGCGAUUGGAGCGGCCGAUAUCAGAUUAGGUUGUUGGUGAGGUAAAAGCUCACCAAGCCUGCGAUCUGUAGCUGGUCUGAGAGGACGACCAGCCACACUGGAACUGAGACACGGUCCAGACUCCUACGGGAGGCAGCAGUGGGGGAUUUUGGACAAUGGACGCAAGUCUGAUCCAGCAAUGCCGCGUGCAGGACGAAGGCCUUCGGGUUGUAAACUGCUUUUGUACGGAACGAAACGGUGAGCUCUAAUAUAGUUUGCUAAUGACGGUACCGUAAGAAUAAGCACCGGCCAACUACGUGCCAGCAGCCGCAGUAA